rnacentral:rRNA from 1 species
UGGGGAAUAUUGCACAAUGGGCGCAAGCCUGAUGCAGCCAUGCUGCGUGUAUGAAGAAGGCCUUCGGGUUGUAAAGUACUUUCAGUCGGGAGGAAGGUGUCAAGGUUAAUAACCUUGGCAAUUGACGUUAUCGACAGAAGAAGCACCGGCUAACUCCGUGCCAGCAGCCGCGGUAAUAUGUAGGGUGCAAGCGUUAAUCGGAAUUACUGGGCGUAAAGCGCACGCAGGCGGUUGAUUGAGUCAGAUGUGAAAUCCCCGGGCUUAACCCGCGAAUUGCAUCUGAUACUGGUCAGCUAGAGUCUUGUAGAGAGAGGUAGGAUUCCAUGUGUAGCGGUGAAAUGCGUAGAGAUGUGGAGGAAUACCGGUGGCGAAGGCGGCCCCCUGGACAAAGACUGACGCUCAAGUGCGAAAGCGUGGGGAGCAAACGGG